rnacentral:rRNA from 1 species
UACGUAGGGCGCAAGCGUUAUCCGGAAUUAUUGGGCGUAAAGAGCUCGUAGGUGGUUUGUCGCGUUGUUCGUGAAAACUCACAGCUUAACUGUGGGCGUGCGGGCGAUACGGGCAGACUGGAGUACUGCAGGGGAGACUGGAAUUCCUGGUGUAGCGGUGGAAUGCGCAGAUAUCAGGAGGAACACCGGUGGCGAAGGCGGGUCUCUGGGCAGUAACUGACGCUGAGGAGCGAAAGCGUGGGGAGCGAACAGG